UUUUCUGCUGCUUCAUUCUUUACAGAACGCAAGAAAAAAAGAAAAAAUAAAGGAAGCCCCCCUCCUCUGCUAGGGUUCCAAGAUUGAAACCCCGCCGCCGCUAUGCCUCCGUUGUCCGGUGAUCGGAGCUGUGCGAAGAGGGCUUCUAUCGGCGCCUUGAAACGCGCUCAUGGGACGAGGCCAUGGAACGAAGAGACGAGGGGAAAGAGAAGAACUUCGGCCCCUCCUUGAAGCCACAUCCGGCGACGGUGAAUCACCAUCGACGGCGGGCCUAGGGGCCGAUUCAGGUGUCAGACACGCGUGGAGGAGGCGUUCGGCGGCGACGAACAGAGACAGUGGCAAUGGCAGGCCUAAGGGCACCUAGGGUUCUCUUUUCUUUUUCUGCUAUCUUUUUGCUGUUGGUUUUGGGUUUAGUUGGGCUAGGUUUUUAAUUUUUGUUUUGGGCCAUUGUUUUUAUUUUUACUGGGCCAGCGAAUUUGGGCUUCUAAAUAAAAAAUUUAUUAUCUUUUGAUCCUA